AAACUAACAAGGAUUCCCCUAGUAGCGGCGAGCGAAGCGGGAAGAGCUCAAAUUUAUAAUCUGGCACCUUCGGUGUCCGAGUUGUAAUCUCUAGAAGUGUUUUCCGCGUUGGACCGCACACAAGUCUGUUGGAAUACAGCGGCAUAGUGGUGAGACCCCCGUAUAUGGUGCGGACGCCCAACGCUUUGUGAUACACUUUCGAAGAGUCGAGUUGUUUGGGAAUGCAGCUCAAAUUGGGUGGUAAAUUCCAUCUAAAGCUAAAUAUUGGCGAGAGACCGAUAGCGAACAAGUACCGUGAGGGAAAGAUGAAAAGCACUUUGGAAAGAGAGUUAACAGUACGUGAAAUUGUUGGAAGGGAAACGCUUGAAGUCAGACUUGCUUGCCGAGCAAUCGGUUUGCAGGCCAGCAUCAGUUUUCUGGGGUGGAUAAUGGUAGAGAGAAGGUAGCAGUUCCGGCUGUGUUAUAGCUCUCUGCUGGAUACACCUUGGGGGACUGAGGAACGCAGUGUGCCUUACGGCGGAUUUCUCGAGAUCUUCACACUUAGGAUGCUGGUGGAAUGGCUUUAAACGAC
rnacentral:rRNA from 2 species